GUUGAAAAAUUAGCGGAUGACUUGUGGCUGGGGGUGAAAGGCCAAUCAAACCGGGAGAUAGCUGGUUCUCCCCGAAAGCUAUUUAGGUAGCGCCUCGUGAAUUCAUCUCCGGGGGUAGAGCACUGUUUCGGCAAGGGGGUCAUCCCGACUUACCAACCCGAUGCAAACUACGAAUACCGGAGAAUGUUAUCACGGGAGACACACGGCGGGUGCUAACGUCCGUCGUGAAGAGGGAAACAACCCAGACCGCCAGCUAAGGUCCCAAAGUCAUGGUUAAGUGGGAAACGAUGUGGGAAGGCCCAGACAGCCAGGAUGUUGGCUUAGAAGCAGCCAUCAUUUAAAGAAAGCGUAAUAGCUCACUGGUCGAGUCGGCCUGCGCGGAAGAUGUAACGGGGCUAAACCAUGCACCGAAGCUGCGGCAGCGACGCUGAUGCGUUGUUGGGUAGGGGAGCGUUCUGUAAGCCUGUGAAGGUGUACUGUGAGGUAUGCUGGAGGUAUCAGAAGUGCGAAUGCUGACAUAAGUAACGAUAAAGC
rnacentral:rRNA from 1 species